rnacentral:lncRNA from 1 species
CUAGCCAUAAAAUAAAGAACCAAAAAGCGUAUGGCAAAUCUAAAGAAGUUUGGGGCAACAGCGCAAAAAGAUAAACUAUAAAAAUGAAAGAAAUCAAAGAUAAAUGGAUGAACAAAAAAUCUUAAGCUCGUCCAAAGUGUUUCCUCAUAUACGGCAAACUAACCAAAGGGUGAGUUGUUGACAUGCUUAUUGACCUCGGAAAGUCUAAUAUCGUAAGUCAGAGAGAUCCCAUACCAGAUCCAGAUUCGAUUCAAGUCAUCUAGGUUCAGCAUGGAGCGAUAGCCGCCAGGACCUAACUCACUCUUCUCGGCCAUUUUCAAAAAAAAAAGACUGAAAGGAUAUCUAAAGAAAGAAGUGAAGAAUGAAAAAUAGAUGGGCGAAAAAGAAAACCUACCUUGGAGCAAAGAAAGGAGAUGGAAGGAACAAAACAAUCACCAGAAAACCUUCGAAAAUCUUUCGGAAAAGGUUGUGUCAUGGAAGAAGAAGAAGCACCCUUGCUUCAAAAAGCUAUCGUAAUGGAGAAGAGAAAGAAGAAAUAGAAGACUCUGAUAGUAAUUAGAGAAACCAAGGAUAAGUCCUUCUUCUAUUUAUAGCCAGG